rnacentral:lncRNA from 1 species
UGGAGGAUAGUGCACUUGAGGCUGGAAUGGACGGAGAGGCUUUAAAGGAGGGUGAGAAGUGUGGCUGCCCUUCCCAAGGAGGCAGAGUGGAUAUGGGGCAUGCAGGAAACCACCACCUGUGACCGCCUCAUUCACUGCCCAGCUCUGAAGGAUUCAAGCACCGGGUCCACACCGAGCAGAGCUCCAGCUUCAAAUCCAGUGAGGCUCAGCUCCUUGCGACUCCCAGCAGGAGCAGCAGGGCUGCUCUGCCAUUCUGACCUCUUGUUAAUUAGGGGCUCAUUAGCAUGCAUCCAGAAGAACUUCAGCCCUGGCACGUGCAUAUCAUGGCUGCUCCACCAAAACUGAGCUAUCCAUCAGCCUGCAGGGGGGACUUAGCCUGAGCAGAGGGCACAGUGCAAACCCAUUCCCCACUAACGGCACUACACUGUGUUUUUUGGGGAGCUCUGCUGCUACCUCUCUGGAUCAACACUCUGCUGGGAGCACCAAGCAAGGAGAUGC